GUGGAACAGAAACUAUUUUGGGAACUUUAGCCUGAUACCUAAAUGAACCUAACAUCUGUCCUUUCAGGGGAUUUGAUGAAGGACAUGGACACUUCACUUACCCUGUAAAGGCUGUUUUAGGUAUACUAUUUCAAAUUUGGGCUUAUUCAGCUCUGUUGCCCCUGGGAUAUUCUUAUAUCUUAUAAAUACUACAGGCAGUAGUUUUAUGGCACUUGAAAGUCUUGCUUCUUUUUUUUGUACAAAACCUCUUCAGUUUGACAAACCAAGCAGCCUGUGAUAUAUAGUACAUGCCUAAGCCUAACUAGAAUUGACAAACAAGCCACAGUUCUAGCUUUCAUCUCGAUUUCAGAUCUUUUCUGGUUGGGGAAUCAGGUUGCUGUUCACUUUUUGUGCUGAGCACACUUUGUCACUGUGCACACUUUGAAUAACUGUGGGAUCUGGUCCAGGGCCCUUUCAGAGCAUUGUUUCUUACUACAGCAAACAUGUCUCUGACAUCUCUCACCAUCAGCUUUAGACUGCUUUGGAUACAUGUAUGCUUUAUCUUUGCUACUUAAUCCAUAUGAAUAAUUAAACAUUUUAGUUGAAUAAAGUUCUAGAUGUUGCAUUCUGUGUGUAGAUAGACACUUUUCUAACAUCCUGAAAAAUCAUUUGAGUGAGAGCAAGAAGGGCAAAAUUUGAGGUUCUCUCUCUGCUCUGUUGUAUAUUACGUUGAGAUUACUUUUGGUCAUGAUGCUGGAUCUUUAUUCUCAGGUAUUUAGCUCUUCCUUUUUACUGUGCAGAACUGAAAUUGUGGUGCACAGGAUCUUACUGAAGCCAGCACCAUCUUGCAGCUGAUCUCCAUACCUUAUCAAUUUCAAACAGGGAGUUUCUCUUCUACACAAUCUACCUUUUCCUGUAGCUGCCACAUUCCAAUUCCAGAUCAGAGCAGCUUAAUGGAUUCAAGGGAUAUAAACCCAGAAGUACAGCCACACACAGAGGGUCCUAGAUUGCUUCCCACUCUCCUGAAAAUUGAUGACUGCAUGUCUGUUUGAAGCUGGGAGACCUGGCUGUGCUCAUUGAGAUGACUGGAAGUGGAAGCUAUGACAGAACAAAACGAGUAAUGAUCUGAGUGCUGACUCUUUUGAUGUGGUAGAUGACUAAUCUGCCCUGAUGCAUCCUGAAAGCAAAUGGAAUUCCUGAUCGUCAAGACAUAUUCAGCCAUCAGGGGUAGCAUCUCAUGCUUCAAUUUUGCUGCCCUUCAACAGGCAGAUGGAAUGAGACACUGCAUGCCAGAUGUUUAUGGAAUAGCUUGAAUCAAUAGAAGAAACUGCAGACCCUUUUUCACCAGCCCAGCUAAAAUCCCAGAUGCAUGUCAAAUAACAUAGCAACCAUCUUGUACAGUGCAUUGUAGUCCAUCAGAAGCUAAGCUGAGGCUAACACCUGAUCUCGGUCUGCGAGCUGAAACUCCACAGAGGCCUUCAAACCACAAAACAGAGUCUUUACCUUUGAAGCCAUCCAGCUUCCCUGCUAUUGUGCUGCUAAUUUUGCUUUGAUUUUUCUUCAGAGUUAAAAUACCUAAGAGAGUCUGAUAUGCGAUAAUACAGGAGAGAGACAGAUGUUCUUGUGAAUGCUGUGAAUGAAGAACUAACCUGAAA
ensembl:lncRNA